GACUGCCUAGGCUCAAGCUGGUAGAGCAUCGAAGUACAAAUUCUGACGCCGUGGGUUCUAAUCCCGCCGGCAGUCG
rnacentral:tRNA from 1 species